rnacentral:other from 1 species
ACGGUUAUAAAUCAACAUAUUGAUUUAUAAGCAUGGAAAUCCCCUGAGUGAAACAACGAAUUGCUGUGCGUAGUCUUUGCCCAUCUCCCACGAUGGGCUUUUUUUUAA